AGGGUGCGAGCGUUAACCGGAUUUACUGGGCGUAAAGGGCGUGUAGGCGGUCUUUCAAGUCCGAUGCUAAAGACUGGGGCUCAACCCCAGGGGUGCGUUGGAUACUGUGAGGCUAGACGGUCGGAGGGGGUAGCGGAAUUUCCGGAGUAGCGGUGAAAUGCGCAGAUACCGGAAGGAACGCCAAUAGCGAAGGCAGCUACCUGGACGACUUGUGACGCUGAGGCGCGAAAGCGUGGGGAGCAAACCGGAUUAGAUACCCGGGUAGUCCACGCCCUAAACCAUGAGUGCUGGGUGUCCGGCUUCUGCUGGGUGCCGUAGCUAACGCGCUAAGCACUCCGCCUGGGAAGUACGCACGCAAGUGUGAAACUCAAAGGAAUUGACGGGGGCCCGCACAAGCGGUGGAGCAUGUGGUUUAAUUCGAAGCGACGCGAAGAACCUUACCAGGCCUUGACAUGCCCGGAACCCCUCUGAAAGGAGGGGGUGCCCGCAAGGGAGCCGGGACACAGGUGCUGCAUGGCCGUCGUCAGCUCGUGUCGUGAGAUGUUGGGUUAAGUCCCGCAACGAGCGCAACCCCUAUCCCUAGUUGCCAGCAGUUCGGCUGGGCACUCUAUGGAGACUGCCUGCGAAAGCAGGAGGAAGGCGGGGAUGACGUCUGGUCCGCAUGGCCCUUACGGCCUGGGCGACACACGUGCUACAAUGCCAAGGACAGAGCGCUGCUACCUCGCGAGAGGACGCCAAUCGCAAAAACCUUGGCUCAGUUCGGAUUGGAGUCUGCAACUCGACUCCAUGAAGCCGGAAUCGCUAGUAAUCGCGAAUCAGCCAU
rnacentral:rRNA from 1 species